rnacentral:rRNA from 1 species
AAAACUUUCAACAACGGAUCUCUUGGUUCUGGCAUCGAUGAAGAACGCAGCGAAAUGCGAUAAGUAAUGUGAAUUGCAGAAUUCCGUGAAUCAUCGAAUCUUUGAACGCACAUUGCGCCCUUUGGUAUUCCAAAGGGCAUGCCUGUUCGAGCGUCAUUG